rnacentral:rRNA from 1 species
GACGAACGCUGGCGGCGUGCUUAACACAUGCAAGUCGAACGGUGAAGGGGUCUGCUUUUGUGGGCCCUGGAUGAGUGGCGAACGGGUGAGUAACACGUGAGUAACCUGCCCCCUUCUUCUGGAUAACCGCAUGAAAGUGUGGCUAAUCCGGGAUAUUCUGGGUCUGUCGCAUGAUGGGUCUGGGAAAGAUUGCGCCUUUGGGUGUUUUUGGUGGGGGAUGGGCUCGCGGCCUAUCAGCUUGUUGGUGGGGUGAUGGCCUACCAAGGCGGUGACGGGUAGCCGGCCUGAGAGGGUGGACGGUCACACUGGGACUGAGACACGGCCCAGACUCCUACGGGAGGCAGCAGUGGGGAAUAUUGCACAAUGGGCGCAAGCCUGAUGCAGCGACGCCGCGUGAGGGAGGGAGGCCUUCGGGGUGUAAACCUCUUUCGCCAGUGAAGCAGGCCUGCUCCUUGUGGGUGGGUUGACGGUAGCUGGAGAAGAAGCGCCGGCUAACUACGUG